rnacentral:rRNA from 1 species
GAUGAACGCUGGCGGCGUGCCUAAUACAUGCAAGUCGAGCGAACAGACGAGGAGCUUGCUCCUCUGACGUUAGCGGCGGACGGGUGAGUAACACGUGGAUAACCUACCUAUAAGACUGGGAUAACUUCGGGAAACCGGAGCUAAUACCGGAUAACAUGUUGAACCGCAUGGUUCAACAGUGAAAGACGGUUUUGCUGUCACUUAUAGAUGGAUCCGCGUCGCAUUAGCUAGUUGGUAAGGUAACGGCUUACCAAGGCAACGAUGCGUAGCCGACCUGAGAGGGUGAUCGGCCACACUGGAACUGAGACACGGUCCAGACUCCUACGGGAGGCAGCAGUAGGGAAUCUUCCGCAAUGGGCGAAAGCCUGACGGAGCAACGCCGCGUGAGUGAAGAAGGUCUGCGGAUCGUAAAACUCUGUUAUUAGGGAAGAACAAAUGUGUAAGUAACUAUGCACGUCUUGACGGUACCUAAUCAGAAAGCCACGGCUAACUACGUG